GAAUAAUAGGGAAAGAGAGGAUUGAGUACAAUUUCAAAAAAAUGUUCAAACUAUGGAUUCAUGAGGGAUAAACAAAGAUUCAUGCCAAACUUCCACACAUACAGAGACUCCAAUCAAAGUUAUGAACCUCACAAGAUAGGAUGAGUCUAAAACAUUAUAGAAUCAUAUUGUCAAUAUGAUUAAAGGGUUUAUGCAUGCAAAUAAUAUCAUACUAAGUAGACUUAACUCAGUCAUACAGAUUAAGGCAUGGUGAAGUUAUAUUCAAGUUGCAGAAACAGUUGCCAUUCAACCAAAACAAACACAACUACAAUCUAACUCAUAAGAAAUAGGCCGAUCAGAACAUGUAUCAUUGAUGACCACAGAAAGUUCAUCUAGCAGAACUCUUUACAACUAACAAUUAGAC
rnacentral:lncRNA from 1 species